rnacentral:rRNA from 1 species
GACGAACGCUGGCGGCGCGCCUAACACAUGCAAGUCGGACGGAGUUAUUUCAGCAGAAGCUUUCGGGUGGACGCAGGGAUAACUUAGUGGCGAACGGGUGAGUAACGCGUGAGGAACCUGCCCUGGAGUGGGAGAUAACAGUUGGAAACGACUGCUAAUACCGCAUAAGCCCACAGCACCGCAUGGUGCAGCGGGAAAAGGAGCAAUUCGCUUCAGGAUGGCCUCGCGUCCAAUUAGGUAGAUGGUGGGAUAAAAGCUUACCAAGCCAACGAUCUGUAGCUGGUCUGAGAGGACGAUCAGCCACACUGGGACUGAGACACGGCCCAG